GAUGAACGCUGGCGGCGUGCCUAAUACAUGCAAGUCGAGCGAACGGACGAGAAGCUUGCUUCUCUGAUGUUAGCGGCGGACGGGUGAGUAACACGUGGAUAACCUACCUAUAAGACUGGGAUAACUUCGGGAAACCGGAGCUAAUACCGGAUAAUAUUUUGAACCGCAUGGUUCAAAAGUGAAAGACGGUCUUGCUGUCACUUAUAGAUGGAUCCGCGCUGCAUUAGCUAGUUGGUAAGGUAACGGCUUACCAAGGCAACGAUGCAUAGCCGACCUGAGAGGGUGAUCGGCCACACUGGAACUGAGACACGGUCCAGACUCCUACGGGAGGCAGCAGUAGGGAAUCUUCCGCAAUGGGCGAAAGCCUGACGGAGCAACGCCGCGUGAGUGAUGAAGGUCUUCGGAUCGUAAAACUCUGUUAUUAGGGAAGAACAUAUGUGUAAGUAACUGUGCACAUCUUGUCGGUACCUAAUCAGAAAGCCACGGCUAACUACGUGCCAGCAGCCGCGGUAAUACGUAGGUGGCAAGCGUUAUCCGGAAUUAUUGGGCGUAAGCGCGCGUAGGCGGUUUUUUAAGUCUGAUGUGAAAGCCCACGGCUCAACCGUGGAGGGUCAUUGGAAACCGGAAAACUUGAGUGCAGAAGAGGAAAGUGGAAUUCCAUGUGUAGCGGUGAAAUGCGCAGAGAUAUGGAGGAACACCAGUGGCGAAGGCGACUUUCUGGUCUGUAACUGACGCUGAUGUGCGAAAGCGUGGGGAUCAAACAGGAUUAGAUACCCUGGUAGUCCACGCCGUAAACGAUGAGUGCUAAGUGUUAGGGGGUUUCCGCCCCUUAGUGCUGCAGCUAACGCAUUAAGCACUCCGCCUGGGGAGUACGACCGCAAGGUUGAAACUCAAAGGAAUUGACGGGGACCCGCACAAGCGGUGGAGCAUGUGGUUUAAUUCGAAGCAACGCGAAGAACCUUACCAAAUCUUGACAUCCUUUGACAACUCUAGAGAUAGAGCCUUCCCCUUCGGGGGACAAAGUGACAGGUGGUGCAUGGUUGUCGUCAGCUCGUGUCGUGAUAUGUUGGGUUAAGUCCCGCAACGAGCGCAACCCUUAAGCUUAGUUGCCAUCAUUAAGUUGGGCACUCUAAGUUGACUGCCGGUGACAAACCGGAGGAAGGUGGGGAUGACGUCAAAUCAUCAUGCCCCUUAUGAUUUGGGCUACACACGUGCUACAAUGGACAAUACAAAGGGCAGCGAAACCGCGAGGUCAAGCAAAUCCCAUAAAGUUGUUCUCAGUUCGGAUUGUAGUCUGCAACUCGGCUACAUGAAGCUGGAAUCGCUAGUAAUCGUAGAUCAGCACGCUACGGUGAAUACGUUCCCGGGUCU
rnacentral:rRNA from 1 species